AUGCCGGAUGCUCCAGUUGGAUGCAUGUCCUUCUGGGAAAGAUUCAUCGGUAUGGGAUGGGGUCGCGUCCUAUCAGCUUGAUGGCGGGGUAACGGCCCACCAUGGCUUCGACGGGUAGCCGGCCUGAGAGGGCGACCGGCCACAUUGGGACUGAGAUACGGCCCAGACUCCUACGGGAGGCAGCAGUGGGGAAUAUUGCACAAUGGGCGCAAGCCUGAUGCAGCGACGCCGCGUGCGGGAUGACGGCCUUCGGGUUGUAAACCGCUUUUGACUGGGAGCAAGCCCUUCGGGGUGAGUGUACCUUUCGAAUAAGCACCGGCUAACUACGUGCCAGCAGCCGCGGUAAUACGUAGGGUGCAAGCGUUAUCCGGAAUUAUUGGGCGUAAAGGGCUCGUAGGCGGUUCGUCGCGUCCGGUGUGAAAGUCCAUCGCUUAACGGUGGAUCCGCGCCGGGUACGGGCGGGCUUGAGUGCGGUAGGGGAGACUGGAAUUCCCGGUGUAACGGUGGAAUGUGUAGAUAUCGGAA
rnacentral:rRNA from 1 species